rnacentral:rRNA from 1 species
AUGGAGGUUUGGUUGAAAUUGGUUACGACGACGUCGAGUUGGCGGCGGAGGAAUACUCGGCAUGAAGGCCAGAAAAUGGUGUGGAACGUAGUGGUAAUAGUACGCGCCCCGCUCCGAAACAAAGAAAAAGGUGCGUGCCGCACUCACGAGGGACUGCCAGUGAGAUACUGGAGGAAGGUGGGGAUGACGUCAAGUCCGCAUGGCCCUUAUGGGCUGGGCCACACACGUGCUACAAUGGCAAUGACAAUGGGAAGCAAGGUUGUAAGGCGGAGCGAAUCCGGAAAGAUUGCCUCAGUUCGGAUUGUUCUCUGCAACUCGGGAACAUGA